AAUAUUGGACAAUGGGCGAAAGCCUGAUCCAGCCAUGCCGCGUGUGUGAAGAAGGUCUUCGGAUUGUAAAGCACUUUAAGUUGGGAGGAAGGGCAGUAAGUUAAUACCUUGCUGUUUUGACGUUACCGACAGAAUAAGCACCGGCUAGCUUCGUGCCAGCAGCCGCGGUAAUACGAAGGGUGCAAGCGUUAAUCGGAAUUACUUGGCGUAAAGCGCGCGUAGGUGGUUUGUUAAGUUGGAAGUGAAAGCCCCGGGCUCAACCUGGGAACUGCUUUCAUAACUGCUGAGCUAGAGUGCGGUAGGGGAGAUUGGAAUUCCUGGUGUAGCGGUGGAAUGCGCAGAUAUCAGGAGGAACACCGAUGGCGAAGGCGACUACCUGGACUGAUACUGACACUGAGGUGCGAAAGCGUGGGGAGCAAAC
rnacentral:rRNA from 1 species